ACGUGAUAUAAUUAUUCGGUCGUUGUAUUCAUAAUUACUUGUAACUUCACAAUAAACUACAAAGCCCUUGUUGUGUUGACGUAAGUGGGUAAGCGCUAAAUAGAAUAUGUUGCAGUUGCACAACGUUUCCCGUUGUGAGAUCUUGUUGCAACUUUUCCAGUGAAUUUUCUCCAAAGCGUACCCACAACAUUGCACUUUUAGGUUUUUUACCUUAUCCUAAAACUAGGAUUUUCCUGGUGUCUCGAAUGUGCCAGUCAGUAAUGAUGUCAUUUUCUACUUCGUGUUUUGACUGUAAUGGUUUGAAAAUGAACUUUUUCGUCAUUUUUCACGUACGACAAAUCAGUGUGGCAAAACUUAAACAUAACUUUGGAAAAAAUUUGGAGAAAUCUGCCAAGAAUGUGCAGAGUUUGUCUCUCUUCACAAAUUGUCUAUGAUAUCGAAGGAUAUGAGAUCAGUGACUUCAUAUUGUAGGGUGGCCGAACUAUAGACAGAGCUUCCCUCAUUAGUUCAUUACAUUCGCUGUUCGGAGUCGGAAGAGCAAGCGUUUGCUCCAGGAGAAGACAAUGGCUCUGGGCAAGUCAACAAGGGCUAUGCAGACGCAGGACCUCGACCCACAGCAAUG